GCGGAUGCUUAAAAUUUGGAGGAGCAUAAACAUGGACCCCCCGAUUUUGCAUGUUUGCUUAAUCUCUCAAGUUAAGAUUUUCAAACAUGGUGGAAAAAAUCUAAUGAAGUUUGUGAUUUUCAGCCAAUCAAAAUCUUUUCUUUAUCUCCUUCCACCAAUCAAACUCUUCACCCUCCAUAAUUUAUUAUUAUUUACCUUCUUCCGUCUUCUUCACUGCCCUGUUCCAACUCUGCUAUUAACUGCUCAACAACUGUCAGCAGCUUGUGCAACACCAUCGCACCAUCCUAACGCCUAAACCAGCACACUCCCCAAACUUGUUCCAGCUCCUUCACCACCAAGGCUCGCCAUAACAGCACCGAGCGUCCCCACCGUCAACAUCCUUCAACCGCGACAUAUUUCUCUUUUUCUCACGUUAAAACUCUCUGAUAAAGAUGUGGUAAAUCACAUUUGAUAUGGACUGGUUUCAACUAUUCUUCAAGAGUGGACUGAACAAAUGAGAGAUAUGUUGGAGGUAAGAAAGCGUUCCGUCAGGAGGAUUUUAAUACCGCUAUAGUGUGUUAUUUCUGUAGAAGUGAAAGGAUUUUAAAAUCACAAUUAUGGUGAUUGUUGUAACCAAACAUGUGAGUUUCAUGUAUGGUAGAAAGUUUUGAAUUGUGCUUUUUUUCCAAGUAUGUAAUGUUAUAUUCUGCCAGGAAGGGAAUUGUUUUCGCACUGGCACUCCUAUUUGGCUCUGUCAUCACUCAUCACAUCUUUAUUUUCUUUUGUUGUAUCUUAAUGAAAAAAAGCAAGAACAUAAUGGUGAAAUCAUUCCAUUUUGAUUCAUGGUCACUGUUGUUAAUAUGAACUGCCAUUGUC
rnacentral:lncRNA from 1 species